rnacentral:rRNA from 1 species
AUUGAACGCUGGCGGCAGGCCUUACACAUGCAAGUCGAACGGAGUUGUGGACGGGUGAGUAAUGUCUGGGAAUCUGCCUUGUAGUGGGGGAUAACGUCCGGAAACGGGCGCUAAUACCGCACACUAUCAGAUGAGCCUAGGUCGGAUUAGCUAGUUGGUGGGGUAAAGGCCUACCAAGGCGACGAUCCGUAACUGGUCUGAGAGGAUGAUCAGUCACACUGUAACUGAGACACGGUCCAGACUCCUACGGUAGGCAGCAGUGGGGAAUAGUGGACAAUAGGCGAAAGCGUGUUUCAGCAAUGCCGCGUGUGUGAAGAAGGUCUUCGGAUUGUAAAGCAAUUUAAGUUGGGAGGCGUUACCAGCAGAAUAAGCACCGGCUAGAUUCGUGCCAGCAGCCGCGGUAAUAC